rnacentral:rRNA from 1 species
CACCGCCCGUCACGUCAUGGGAGUGGCCAAUGCUUGAAGUCCGUGGGCUAACCCGCAAGGGAGGCAGCGGCCGAGGGCAGGGGUCGCGACUGGGACG